rnacentral:sRNA from 1 species
AUCUGCGGGCAGAUCAGGUGGACGUGACAGUCGAUGGCGCCUGCGGUGACGAUUCGGCCGUUGCCCGCGAUGAUCUCGGUCGACGGGCCGACCACCAGAUCGGGGUGGACGCCGGACAUGAUGUCGGGAUUACCGGCCUUACCGAUCGCGACGAUCCGGCCGUCGCGGAUACCGAUGUCGGCCUUGAUGAUUCCCCAGUGAUCGACGAUCACCGCGCCGGUGAUGACGGUGUCCGGGGCGCCGUCGGCGCGGGUGGCCCGUCCCUGGCCCAUCGAUUCGC